GGGGGCGACAUGGCUUCGACGGGGUCGGGGGACCGUUGGCAGCAUGCCGAGAUUCCAGUCAUCUCGUAAAACGCUGGGAACAAAACAAAUGACACAGAGCACUACGCUCUCGCUGCGUAAAUAAACACGCAGCGCGUUCCCCGGAGAGAGGGACGCCAGUCCCUCCGGCGGAGCGCCGUCAUCUGGCGUCUGGUCCUGAACCGGGUCUCCUGGGGACGGACGAGAUCUUUACGGAGACUGGUUCCACGCUCGGCCUGUCGCUGAGCCAGGCGCGGAACGAGAUCGAUCAGCGGCUAAGCAUGUAGACGCCGGCGGGGGACCGGCUUCGGACGCGGGUUCGAUUCCCGCCGCCUCCACCA
rnacentral:tmRNA from 1 species